rnacentral:rRNA from 1 species
CCUACGGGUGGCAGCAGUGAGGAAUAUUGGACAAUGGGCGAAAGUCUGAACCAGCCAAGUAGCGUGAGGGAUGAAUGCCCUAUGGGUUGUAAACUUCUUUUAUAUGGGAAUAAAAUGUUGCACGUGUCGGAUUUUGUAUGUACAAUUUGAAUACGGAUCGGCUAACGCCGUGCCAGCGGCCGCGGUAAUACGGAGGAUCCGAGCGUUAUCCGGGUUUAUUGGGUUUAAAGGGAGCGUAGGUGGAUUGUUAAGUCAGUUGUGAAAGUUUGCGGAUCAACCGUAAAAUUGCAGUUGAAACUGGCAGUCUUGAGUACAGGAGAGGUGGGCGGAAUUCGCGGUGUAGCGGUGAAAUGCUUAGAUAUCACGAAGAACUCCGAUUGCGAAGGCAGCUUACUGGAUUGCAACUGACACUGAGGCUCGAAAGUGUGGGUAUCAAACAGGAUUAGAUACCCGAGUAGUC